GGAUACGGCCUUACUGCGGAGAAAGCACCGCUUCCCAUCCGAACAGCCGAAGUUCAGCUGCGCCAGGCGGUGUUAGUACUGGGGUGGGCGACCACACGUCGACGUUAUGUGAUGCGACAU
rnacentral:rRNA from 1 species